UAUCGUCACAUGUACCAAGGUACAGUAAAAAGCGUUGUUUUGCAUACGAUCCAAACAGAUCUGAUAUUCUAUACAUACAGUUCAAACUCGGGUACAAUAGAAAAGGGAUUUAGAAGAAUGGAGUGAUUGUAUCUGAUAUUAGUUGGUAGGGUUGCCAAUUUUCUCACUCCCAAGUAAGGGGCAAAAGGUGACCAAAUAAGGGGCAAAAGGUGACCAAAUAAGGGACAAAAGGUGGCGUGCCACCGUGGUGUGGGUAUGGUGUAGACCCGGGAUGAAGAGAACUGUUACCCUUUCCGUGAGAGGAAGCAACGAGGGAGGGACUUGUGAGGAAUCUUGCAGGAGGCGAGAUGGACAUUGAACGGCAACAGAUCUGAUGAGCCGGUUGAUAAAAUCUCAGAGCUGCUACCUGCUGUGACAGUUCGCCAUCUGUUCGCUCCUGCGGGGGCUGGCGCUUGGGAGAUUUAAGGGGCGUCGGUGUUCAGGGAAUUAGUGAGCGCUCCGACCAAACGGGCGAUAGUGGGGUUGGGGGGUUGAGAGACGCCAAAGAGAUUUCAUAAUUGAAACGUGGAAAUUAAAAAUACUCCCAGAGGCAGAGGACUGAAGAGGAGAGAGAGGGAGGGGGAGGAGGAAAACGCACCCAGAGAAUGAAACCCCACAAGCAUCUGGCGGUCCAAACCUGAACACUCUGGUGCUGAGAAACGUGCCCCAGCUGUCCCACUAAAUCUCACCACUUCAAGCUUGCCCUUAAGGAUCAGGACAUGAACACACACAUGGAACAGCUUGUCUGUGCGACAUAAUUUGCAGGAAGUCAUAUGGAUGCAUUUGUCUUACUAAAAACAAGAGAACAUGCAUAAACCCGGGUGAGAGUCAAACUGAACAACUCGAUGUGAACACAUUUUGCUUCCAUGAGCACAGGAAAAAGAUCAGUGCCUGUUUUCUUUGUAUGAUGCUCUCUCAACAGGCUAUCUGCUGCAUCAUGAGUUUUGUGUCAACUAAAGUUUGAUUUGUUAAGACAUUUUGCUUAUUGCUCUUAA